GGAGAAGUAGUUGUGUGACAAGAUAUCCAAGUGUAAGUUUAUGUUAAGGGAGGUGUGUCUCUUAAAAUAAAUGGUUCUAACAAGUGGAAACAAGGUGAAGGAAGAGAAGUCCUAAAGGUGUCACUAAAAUAAGGAACUUCAUGCGUUUUGUUGGUUUUGAAAAAGUUUUGUGGGAGGUUUCUCAAGGGUGGUUGUUUCUUUGUCACAAUUGACACUGAAGGAUAAUAUUUUGAGGGUAGCCAAGAGAUGUGAAAAGAGUUUUUAUGUUAUUGAGGAAGAGGUGGACCGACAAUUCAGUGUUGAUCAAUCAUAACACAGGGGAGCCUUUUGAGGUUUAUUGUGACUCAACACAGUGGAAGUGAGAAUGUAUGUUAAUUAAAGUGGUGCAACGGUGUGGUGGUAGGGUAUGUUUCUAAAUAAUGGAAGGUGCAGGAGAGGAACUAUCUUACUCAUGACCUGAUGGUUAAUGUAGUAGGGACUUCUUUAAAACAAUAAAGGAAAUUGGACAAGAGGAAAAUGAGGUGAAUUUAGCUGCAAUUUUAAGUUGUGGUGUUUCCCUAAAACUAAAAAUACAAUAGAAGAGGCUUUUAGCAAAAAAAAGGAUUUAAUUUGCUGGUUUGAUAAUGAAGGAAUUAAAAUUGAUGUGAGUGAGACUUCAUUAAUGUAGCCACUUGACUAUAAUUAGCAAGUUUUUUUAAAAUGGUCUGGGAAAAAGCAAAUUAGAAAAUCCUAGGUUGAGAUGUACCUUAGAGUUGUUACAUAUUGAUCAAGUUAGUGAUUUCAAAAU
rnacentral:lncRNA from 1 species